rnacentral:rRNA from 1 species
AUUGAACGCUGGCGGCAUGCCUUACACAUGCAAGUCGAACGGCAGCGCGGGGCAACCUGGCGGCGAGUGGCGAACGGGUGAGUAACAUAUCGGAACAUACCCUAGAGUGGGGGAUAACGUAGCGAAAGUUACGCUAAUACCGCAUACGCACUAAGGUGGAAAGUGGGGGAUUCGCAAGAACCUCAUGCUCAUGGAGUGGCCGAUAUCUGAUUAGCUAGUUGGUGAGGUAAUGGCUCACCAAGGCGACGAUCCGUAACUGGUCUGAGAGGAUGAUCAGUCACACUGGAACUGAGACACGGUCCAGACUCCUACGGGAGGCAGCAGUGGGGAAUAUUGGACAAUGGGCGAAAGACCUGAUCCAGCCAUGCCGCGUGUGUGAAGAAGGUCUUCGGAUUGUAAGCACUUUAAGUUUGGGAGGGAAGGGUAGUAACCGUAAUAACGUUGCUACUUUGACGUUACCGUACAGAAUAAGCACCGGCUAACUU